rnacentral:rRNA from 1 species
UUUUGAAUAGGAAAAAAAUGAACAAGGUCUCCGUUGGUGAACCAGCGGAGGGAUCAUUACCGAGUUUACAACUCCCAAACCCCAAUGUGAACGUUACCAAACUGUUGCCUCGGCGGGAUCUCUGCCCCGGGUGCGUCGCAGCCCCGGACCAAGGCGCCCGCCGGAGGACCAACCAAAACUCUUAUUGUAUACCCCCUCGCGGGUUUUUUACUAUCUGAGCCAUCUCGGCGCCCCUCGUGGGCGUUUCGAAAAUGAAUCAAAACUUUCAACAACGGAUCUCUUGGUUCUGGCAUCGAUGAAGAACGCAGCGAAAUGCGAUAAGUAAUGUGAAUUGCAGAAUUCAGUGAAUCAUUCGAAUCUUUGAAACGCACAUUGGCGCCCGCCAGUAUUCUGGCGGGCAUGCCUGUCCGAAGCGUCAUUUCAACCCUCCGAMCCCCUCCGGGGGGUCGGCGUUGGGGAUCGGCCCUUUACGGGGCCGGCCCCGAAAUACCAGUGGCGGUCUCGCCGCAGCCUCUCCUGCGCCAGUAGUUUGCACACUCGCAUCGGGAGCCGCGGCGCGUCCACAGCCGUUAAACACCCCAAACUUCUGAAAAUGUUGACCUCGGAUCAGGUAGGAAUACCCGCUGAACUUACACGCAUAUCAAGGCCGGGAAAGAAA